AUAGGCUAUGAAUAUGUAAUUUUGACCCAUAAAUUGUUUAUAACUGAAAUUUUCCCCCGCUAAAAUUCCACUGUGUUUAGCAGGCGUGCUACUUCCUUUCUUCCCAAGUGGCUAUGUAGCAAAUAUUAGGGCCGCUGUGUUGUUCUCUGUUCUCAUCUUACCACCGCUUCCCCUGUCUUGUUUGUGAUACUUUCUGGUGGAAUCUUUCUCACUCUGCUCUUCUUCUUCUUCAAAUUUGUUGCCUUGUUGGUACUACUAAUUCCCCUUUACCCACUUUUCAGUACCACAAACUACUAGCAAGAAGUUGCCUCCUGAAAUAUCCACUCCUGAGCAUGCGGUUGUGGAUACAUAUGAAAAGAUCAUUCACACACUUCUUGCACAGCGAACAACAUAUAUACAUGCUAGAGGAGCUCUGACUGAGAUUGGAGAAUUUGUUGCGUAUGAUCUUGACGAGGAUGAAGAUUGGCUUCAAGAGUUCAACAGAAAAGGAAAGGUUCUUGCAGCUGAAAAAUCAAUCGAGACACGCUCAGCUCGAUCAAUAUUUUCUCCUACAGUCUUUAUGUCUUGACUUUUGAAUUAGAUUUAUCUACAAUGUGUAAUAAAAUAAUAUCAUUUUUUUCAUGUUUAUCAUUACUAGUUACUACUUACGCGGCUAACGAGAGCUGCUUGGGGUUGUAGGGCUAUUUUGGAAAAUUCGGUAAUUUUCUGGAUAGUCUGGUCAUAUCACCCUAAUGUUUGUGCUAUGUGUGUUUGUACGUAUGAUCAGCCGCUCUUCUCCCGUGCUUUAAUGACAAAAUACCCGAUCAUCUUUAUGGAAAUACCAAGUAUAUGCUACUUUUUGUCAUCUAGGUCCAGGGAGGUUAUUUCUGUAAUUGCAGCAAAAUAAAGCAACUCUAUUGGAUGAGAAAAUGAUUUACUGUAGCUCCCUUGAAAAUAUUUGUCUUUAGUUGACUAUUCUACCCUCUUCUGCUAAUGUCAUCCCUACUAUUCUCCAAGACAAAUCAUUUCAUAAGGGCCCCACAACCAAACAUCUUAAAUCUUCUUUGCAUAUAUUAAACUGUGUACAUGUCCACGUUUCGCGCGGUCGGAAAAAUUAUUUGUCUUACAAAUACAAAAAUUACAGAUUUUGGAAGAACAAUAAUUGGAGGAUUCAAAAAAAAAAAAUUGACCUAGAUAAGUAAAAUAGAGGUAUAGACAUUAAU